UCAGAAACCGACCAUACUGGCUUCCUCAUCUCAGACUUUCAGCCUCCAGAAUGGCAUCAUGAAUGCAGAGUUAUCAAGGACUGAAGAACCCUCAGAAAAGGCUGUGGAAGAGUCUCCUUGCUGUUGCACUUCCCCUGAUGCUUCUGACCCCAACCCUGGACAUGGUCACCAUGGCUCAUAGACAUGAGUCACUGAGUGUAUAGCCCACCAGCUCUGCUGGAUUCCAGUUACCAACCAAGCCCUGGGCAGGCCCUUCAAAUGCAUCAUGGUCUUGUUUCUAUCCCCAGGCUGGACGUGAUUUACUCCUGGCUGUUCUUUUUAAAAAAAUAAACUCGAUGAUGACCAAAAUCGUAGGAUGAAAAAAUAGCCCUGAUGAAAGUGGUCUGGACAACUCUUCCAAAGCAGCCACUGGAUUAUGGGAAAAGCAUUUAUAGGGAGAAAGCACAGAGCAUGAUUUUCCAUGAAUAUUCUGAUUACAUAUACUAAUUCCAUGGUCAAUGCUAAGUACUUGGAAAAAACCAAAAAUGACAUUUUGCCCCCCAGUGAUCUCAAGGGUCUCACUCUGUUGCCCAGGUUGGAGUGCAGUGGCAUGAUCACGACUCACUGUAGACUUGACCUCUCGGGCCCAAAUGAUCCUCCCACCUCAACCUCCCAACUAGCUGGGACUACAGGCAUGAGCCAUUACACCUAGUUAAGAUUGUUAUUUACACCAUAUAUGGAAACUACCAAGUAAGAGAGAGUGGCUUGGUCAAGGCUUCUACAACUUGAAACAGACUUAAAAAAGACAAAACCAGGUUAAAAUCGACACAAGGUCAACUUUGAAAUGGGGAAAGAGGAAAGUGACGUCACAAAAUAAACAUCAAGUCUUGUGUACAAGCAUCUGCAGAGGAGUUCAGCCUCACCACUUGGAUAGGACUUUUAUGAAUCAGAGCUGGAUUCUGUCAGUUAGAAAGGAGGAUUGCCAACAGGUAUGCUCAGUGGAGGCUGGGAAGUCUAGUGCUGAUGGUGAAGAUGAGUUCUUUUGUCCAUCAUCCUGAGAAGAGCAGUUUCAUGGAUACAUUUGGUACCACUGAUAACACACAAGACUUGAUCUAUUCGGCAUUAAACUCAGGACAAAAGAAGACACAAACGUGAUCUUGUGGUUUGGGUCCUCCAAUCCUCGUUAAAGUGUGGUUUCACCUGUUACCUCAUAAAGGUGCCAUUGCUGUAUACACAUCUGAAUCUAUUUACAAUUUGAGAAUAGAGAUGCACUGGCUCUGCAGGCUUCCAGGGUGUGUGUGCUGCAUAACCUCAUCCAUAUAACUAAGAGAUUGAACCAAAUCCCCAGGCGGACUGAAUAAGAAAUCAGAGUUAAGGCCCCCAUGGGAGAGAUUAUUGAAGAAACAUUCACAAGAGAUCUGGGCAUUUGAAGGAGGAAGGCGGCUGAACCUGCAGGAUGAUCCAUUAACAACUUGAAAAAUACCCACCAUCCAGGACAGAGAGGAUGUUACCGGAAUAAUAGGCAUCAGAUGUUCUCUGUAGUUAAAGGCCAUGUUCUAGGAUAUAGUCAAAAGACUCUCCACUGCUGUUGGACUCCAGGACUAAACACAAGGUGUCCAUGGUGUUGAUCACUUGAAAGAGCUUGAUGACAUUGGGAUGAUUUGGAGCCUUCAUAAUGCUGAUCUCUCACUGUACAUUCUGGAGGCUGGAGGAUCUCUGCUGAUCUUUCAGGAUGACAUUCACAGCCACCUGGGUCCCUGUGAGAAUGUUCCAGCCCAACUUUACCUUGGUGAAGCUGCCUUGGUUAUUUUCUUGAGGAGCUUGUAAUCUCUAAUAAGGGUCUUGUCAUCAGCAGAGUUGGAAGCCAAACUGUGCCACAGAGGUCACUGGCAAGUGACCUCCUAGCUUCACUAACUACAAACUCUAACUAGGAAUGCUAACUACAACACUAACUAUACAAACUAUGCCACCUACAAAUACUAAUGAACACUGUUAGAGUUGCUCUGCUAUUUGUAGGUGACCUUUAUGGCCAUUUCCGUGCUGGUAAUACUAUGCUGGGCCAACUUCACUUUAGUUGUACCUGGGUGCUGGAUGAUGUCACCAGGAAUCACCUCUCCCAACCCCUGGCUCUGCCUACUUCUCUGUGUUGGAGACAUUCUCAAGUCUUGACUAGACGCUGAUCCAGGGAUCAUCCGGACUGAUGACACCUCUCUCCUCAAGGAGCUGACACUCUAGCAAGGGCACAUAGGUAGAUUGGGAAGACAGACUGAAAUUGACAGUGGCUGUUGGGUAGAAUAGAGACCCCUGAAUGUAACAGAUGUAUUAGGAGAACAUAGAGAACUCAAAAAUGAGAAUGGAGUCGUUGGACUUCCCAGAAAACAGGAGUCAGCAUCUGGCAAGUCACCAGGAACCAAGUCUGCUGCAUUUCUUCCACCAUCCUUGGGCCACAUCAUCUCUCAUCUGCUUCUGUCUACACAUCACUACCUCCUCAUAUCUUAAAAUCUGUUGGCUCUUCUCCAUUUCCAUUGCCCUGAUCCUAGUCUUAAAGUAGUACCCUUUUAUUCUUGCCCAGAAAACUGAAAUGGCCUCCUCAUUUUUCUCCCCAAAUCCACUCACUCUUGCCUGUUUUCAAUUUGUUUUCCUUCUCAAUACUAACAGAUUGGUAAAAAGUAGAAAAUGUAGUCAAUUGUUUUCCAGUGCCCCUACAUGAUAGACAUCAAAACUUCGACCAUGAUGUGGAAUGGGAAUACUGCUCACUCCCUCAGUGCCUUUGGAUAUACUGCCCUCCUUGUCAGAGGGUCCUGCAGCCCUAUUCUUGCCUUUCUCAGGCAUGGCAAAGGGUUAGCAGAUGACAAAUGAGGGAAAUGUGGGCACACUGUAAACACCAGCACUGUAAGGAUCACUUCUUUUCUUACUGCUGUGACCAAGGUGAUGUUCCAGAUAAAGCCUGCUCAGUGAGCCUGAGUCCAAAUCCAAGAGGAUGCAGAGCAGAGCAAUGGUGGCAUAUAGCGUGACAGAUGAAUUCCCUUGUUGACCCUUGCUAUAUGGAGUCACUUGUUACUUAGCAUCACCUAGCCUGCCCUGAUUGAUGUAUGUGGUCUAUGAGCUCUUGCUUAUUGCCCUAUCUCUUGCUGAGGACUCUCUGGCUUUUCAGUAGUUCAGUAGUUAUACAUGUUGCUCUUCCCACCUUAGACAUUUCUCUAUGUUAUUCUCUUUCGUUGGAAAGUUCUUUACACCAUUUUGUUGUUGUUGUUGUUGCCUAAUUCACAUUUCUUUACCAGUGAGAUCUCAGCUUAAAUGUAACAUUCUCAGGAAAGAAUUAUCUGGUCUGUGUACAAGGUACCUAGAAUUCACUUUCUUUGUUAUCAUGUCUUUCACUAAACUAUAAUUUCCAUGAAGACAGUGUAUUAGUCUGUUUUCAUGCUGCUGAUAAAGACAUAUCUGAGACUGGGUAAUUUACAAAAGAAAGAGGUUUAAUGGACUUACAGAUCCAUGUGGCUGGGGAAGCCUCACAAUCAUGGUGGAAGGCAAGGAGGAGCAAGUCACAUCUUACAUGGAUGGAAGCAGGCAAAGACAGAACUUGUACAGGGAAAUGUCCCCUUAUAGAACCAUCAGAUCUCAUUGGACUUAUUCACUAUUACGAGAACAGCAUGGGAAAAACCUGCCCCCAUGAUUCAAUUACCUCCCACUGGGACCUUCCCACAAUAUGUGGGAAGUCAGGAUGAGAUUUGGAUGGGGACACAGUCAAACCAUAUCAGACAGAGACCAGGUAUUUAGCUCAAACUUCUUUGAGGCCCUGCUUCCUCCCCACUAUGGGCCAGGUCCUGUGCUGAGGGCUGGAGGUAAUGGGAUGAGUCAGUCAUGAGCCUUGCUUUCACAAAUCUGUCCCAUAAAAGGAAAGGCAGACAUGCAAGCAGCAGGACUGGAAUCCUCUGUGUGUUCUAACAGGUAAUGAGGAUAAGUGAUGCUGGGCAAAGGGAAGGCAAGGGAGAUGCCUUGAGGAGGGGUUGUCUAAGAGGGUUUAAAGAGGGAAUUGGAAUCAUCCAGGUAGGGAGCUUACUGAGAUGGCAUGGAAUGGGGGUGAGGGGUUGUAGAGCAAGGAGACAGGGUGGAUAAAGUUUUCAAAGCUUCAAAGAAGAUGAGCCUGGGAGCAGCAGGGACCAGAAUGAACCUCUGGUAUCUUUAUUCUUGAGAAUCCAAGCAUUCUUGCUUCAGUGCCUUUGCAAGUAAAAAGUGGUAGGUGGUGUUUGCAUACACUGUGAGAACCAGAACUCUAUGUCCUGAACACCUAGAGGAGGGGUAAUUACUUCACACUGGGGAGGAAGGCAGCUGGGGCAGGAGCAAUGGGGAAGAUUCUUUUCAACUGAGGCUACAAGGGAAUGGAAGCUGGACUGACCAGGUUUGGGGAAGAGGAGUAGCUCAACAGCAAAGGUAGGAGGCCUGCCUCUGCAAAGGUAGUAGAAGGAAUGCAGUCUGUUCUGCCUGCUUACCAUAAGUGGGGGUUGGCUUCCUGGGGACCAGCUGGCUGGGUAAGAUCAUAUCGCACAAUGGGGCCAUUUUCUGUAGGUCCCCCCGGAUUAGAGAGUGAUGAUGAGCCCUGCCUCUCCUCUGUGCUAGUCACACUGUUUUCAAGUGCGGCAAAGUUCACCAGGAUAGGGCUGCCAGGAGCUUGCCCACUCAACUGAUUGGAAUAGGGAGGCCUGGGCAAAUGAUAGCUAGACAGUGAGGGACUGGGCUGGCUGCAGGAGAUGGGAAGCUGCAGAGGUGGGUGAUGAAGAAGCUGAGGCUUCACGCUUCCAGGUGUCAGGGUCUCUGGCCUGGGCCGACUCCAAUGCCAGUGGACUCCUUCCUGCGGGGCAGCUAGGUGCCUAACGUCUGCUGGCUGGGCUUCCAAACUCUCAGACUCUAACUGGAUGGACUCUCUGGAUCAGCAAGUGGGUGUCAUUUGGUGUGCCAUGGCUGAUCCAUCAACCCUGGCAACCUGCAGUGCCAAGCUGAGGAGUCCAAAGUUGUCUGUGUGCUCUGUGAGAAAAAGUGCUGUAAUCUAUUAGCCAGGUGUGCAGUAGGUGAUGAAGGCGAGACCUAUGAUAUGUGUGCCAGCCAUUUGUCAUCGCUGGUAGGGUUCACACCCUUAUUUUGUGUAUCGAGAAACUGAGGCUCAGAGGGAGGAAUGUCUUCUUCCAGUCUGAGGUCCUUCUGCCUCCUGGUCUAGCCACCCCACAGCCCUCUGCGUUUCUAUGAUGAUGCAUAAUGAAGACAGCACUGUGUUUACAGGGAAUCCAUGCACACUGGAUGUGUCUGGACCGACAUUGUAUUCCUCCUCUUUGUUUUCUUUGCCUAUACCUUCAAAUAUUUAAUGUGUCUUAUACAUUAUAUUUGUGUGUUUUAAAGGAUAAUAAAGCAUCUGUGAACCAACCAUUCAGCUCCAGGGCUAGAACAUUCCCAAUAAUUUGCAUCCAUGUGUUUGCCAUUUGUCCUACCCCAGAGGUCACUGCAAUCUGGAAUUUUGUGUUUGUCAUUCCCUUGCUCAUAGAAUUACUAUAUAUAUCCAAAAUGUAUAUUAUUUGGUGUUUGUCCAGCUUUAUGAAAAUGGUAUGUGAUAUGUAAACUCCUAAGAAUUGCAUUUUUUUACUCAAUAUUUUGACGAUUCUAAGCUUUAUCCAUGCUGACGUGUAGCUGUAGUUUAUUUUUACUGGUAUGAAAAUGAAUAAUGUGACUAUUUCACAGUUGGUUUUGCAUUCUCUCAGUGGAUAUUUGAGUCAUAUCCAUUUUUUUAUGAUUAACAAUGUUGCUAUGAGGAAAUAAAGGCAAGUCACUUGGUGCAAAUUACAAAUAACUCCAGACCCCUUAAGGACAAUACAUACUUAAGAGAAGGAAAAUGUAGUGCUUUUGUUGGAAGAGGCCCCCUGCUGGAUUUGGUGAUGACAUACGUAGAAGUGAACUCCUAUUUAGCAGGUCUGGGGGUGGCGCCUCACAGAAUAGACACUGUU